rnacentral:rRNA from 1 species
UACGUAGGGACCAAGCGUUGUCCGGAAUCAUUGGGCGUAAAGAGCGUGUAGGCGGCUUGUUAAGUCUUGCGUGAAAUCUCGGGGCUCAACCCCGAGCGGUCGUGAGAAACUGGCAGGCUAGAGUGCGGGAGAGGAGAGUGGAAUUCCUGGUGUAGCGGUGAAAUGCGCAGAUAUCAGGAGGAACACCGGUGGCGAAGGCGGUUCUCUGGGCAUGUCCUGACGCUGAGGAGCGAAAGUGUGGGGAGCGAACAGG